rnacentral:rRNA from 1 species
CCUACGGGAGGCUGCAGUGGGGAAUAUUGGACAAUGGGGGGAAUCCUGAUCCAGCGACGCAGCGUGAGUGAAGAAGUAUCUCGGUAUGUAAAGCUCUAUCAGCUUGGGAGAAAGGAAUGACGGUACCUGACUAAGAAGCCCCUGCUAACUACGUGCCGGCAGCCGCGGUAAUACGGAGGGGGCAAGCGUUAUCCGGAUUUACUGGGGGUAAAGGGAGCGUAGACGGUUACGCAAGUCUGGAGUGAAAGGCGGGGGCCCAACCCCCGGACUGCUUUGGAAACUGGAUAACUGGAGUGCAGGAGAGGUAGGGGGAAUUCCUAGUGUAGCGGUGAAAUGCGUAGAUAUUAGGAGGAACACCAGUGGCGAAGGCGGGUUUCUGGACUGUAACUGACGUUGAGGCUCGAAAGCGUGGGGAGCAAACAGGAUUAGAUACCCUAGUAGUC